AAGAAAAAAAAUAAGAGAUCAGAGGAGAUCUUUUUUUUUUUUCUUUCUUCUUUACUUUUUUACCCUGAACAACACUUAACAGUUCUAGCAACAGUUGUGCAACACAUGAACAACACAUGUGCAACACUUGAACAAUAGUUGUUUGACUAAAAAAGAAAAAAAAAAAAGUAAAGGGUUUGGGGGGAUCUUUUUUUUUUUUUUUUUUUUUUGAAUUUUG
rnacentral:ribozyme from 1 species